UACGUAGGGUGCAAGCGUUGUUCGGAAUUACUGGGCGUAAAGCGCACGUAGGCGGCUUUGUAAGUUAGAGGUGAAAGCCUGGGGCUCAACCCCAGAAUUGCCUUUAAGACUGCAUCGCUUGAAUCCAGGAGAGGUGAGUGGAAUUCCGAGUGUAGAGGUGAAAUUCGUAGAUAUUCGGAAGAACACCAGUGGCGAAGGCGGCUCACUGGACUGGUAUUGACGCUGAGGUGCGAAAGCGUGGGGAGCAAACAGG
rnacentral:rRNA from 1 species